rnacentral:rRNA from 1 species
UACGUAGGGUGCAAGCGUUGUCCGGAAUUAUUGGGCGUAAAGAGCUCGUAGGCGGUUCGUCGCGUCGGCUGUGAAAACCCGGAGCUCAACUCCGGGCCUGCAGUCGAUACGGGCGGACUGGAGUGUUGCAGGGGAGACUGGAAUUCCUGGUGUAGCGGUGAAAUGCGCAGAUAUCAGGAGGAACACCGGUGGCGAAGGCGGGUCUCUGGGCAACUACUGACGCUGAGGAGCGGAAGCGUGGGGAGCGAACAGG